rnacentral:rRNA from 1 species
AUUGAACGCUGGCGGAAUGCUUUACACAUGCAAGUCGAACGGCAGCACGGGUGCUUGCACCUGGUGGCGAGUGGCGAACGGGUGAGUAAUGCACCGGAACGUAUCCAAUAAUGGGGGAGUAACGCACCGAAAGGUAGUGCUAAUACCGCAUACGCCCUGAGGGGGAAAGGCGGGGAGUCGUAAGACCUCGCGUUAAUGGAGCGGCCGAUGCCGGAUUAGCUAGUUGGUGAGGUAAAGGCUCACCAAGGCGACGAUCCGUAGCUGGUCUGAGAGGACGACCAGCCACACUGGAACUGAGACACGGUCCAGACUCCUACGGGAGGCAGCAGUGGGGAAUUUUGGACAAUGGGCGCAAGCCUGAUCCAGCCAUUCCGCGUGAGUGAAGAA